rnacentral:rRNA from 1 species
CUACACAUGCAGUCGAACGCGAAAGGGGCUUCGGCCCUGAGUAGAGUGGCGAACGGGUGAGUAACGCGUGGGUGACCUACCUUCGAGUGGGGGAUAACGUUCCGAAAGGAGCGCUAAUACCGCAUGAAGUUCUGGAUUUGAACAUCUGGAAACCAAAGCCGGGGAUCGCAAGACCUGGCGCUUGGAGAGGGGCCCGCGUCUGAUUAGCUAGUUGGCGGGGUAAUGGCCCACCAAGGCGACGAUCAGUAGCCGGCCUGAGAGGGCGGACGGCCACACUGGGACUGAGACACGGCCCAGACUCCUACGGGAGGCAGCAGUGGGGAAUUGUUCGCAAUGGGCGCAAGCCUGACGACGCAACGCCGCGUGGGGGAUGAAGGUCUUCGGAUUGUAAACCCUUGUCGAGCGGGACGAAUGGCCCGCGACCUAAUACGUCGCGGGAGUGACGGUACCGCUAAAGGAAGCCACGGCUAACUCUGUGCCAGCAGCCGCGGUAAUACAGAGGUGGCAAGCGUUGUUCGGAAUUACUGGGCGUAAAGGGCGCGUAGGCGGCCAUCUAAGUCAGACGUGAAAUCCCCCGGCUCAACCUGGGAACUGCGUCUGAUACUGGAAGGCUUGAGUGCGGGAGAGGGAUGUGGAAUUCCAGGUGUAGCGGUGAAAUGCGUAGAUAUCUGGAGGAACACCGGUGGCGAAGGCGGCAUCCUGGACCGACACUGACGCUGAGGCGCGAAAGCUAGGGUAGCAAACGGGAUUAGAUACCCCGGUAGUCCUAGCCCUAAACGAUGAGUGCUUGGUGUGGCG